UUAUCUCACUUUGAAUUUUCAUUCUUUUGAAAAAAAUAAAUGGGAACCAAGGAGAUAUUACAAGCUAUUAUAAAUGUUCAGGAUACCAAAUUGAAAAAUUGAGCAAAGUACUGCAGAUCACAGAGGUCAGAUCAGCCAGCUCUGCCUGUGAUAGUCACAAAAAGUCUUCAUAGAAGAGGUGUGAAAGAUGGAUGCCAGUCACUUAAUUUACCUCAGAUGGUGCAAUCCAGCUUGUACCAGCAGAUGACCUCCACUUGGAAGAUACAGGACUUUUUAGAAAA